AUAUUCCCUCUCCCCACGCUCUAGAGAUCCUGAUUUAAUUUCUCUGGGGUGGAGCCUGCACAUUUGUAUUUUUUAGGUUAUGCACUUUAUUCUAAUGUGUAGUGUGGAUUCAGAACAGCUCGUCUAAAAUGAAGGGUCUGCAGAGACCGAUGUACGGGGUGCCAGAGGGAAACCACGUGUGAGAGAACAAGGCCUUCAUGCUUUGUAAGAGAGGACAGAACCAGAUCACAAGGGCUACUUAAAAAAGCCCUCCUCUUGCUUUGCAUUCUUCCAGGACCUGCAACCGGUGAUUGAACUACCAGUUUCUGAAGGCCACCCAUUCACACCUAUUUCCCGCUACUCCAGGUGGAAAUUGAAAAUGUAUCUCGCUGACCUCAAGGGAUGAUAUUCAGGAGCUUCAGGGAAUCUUCAGCUAAUGGGAGAAGCACAAGCAGAUUAAUGGAUCCCAAAGACAAAAUGCCUAUCCUAGCUCAAAUGACAUCUCGUGGAUCUUGAAAAGUGGAGCUUUCUGUGCCCAUCUUCAGAAAGAGACAUCAGACAAUCUUAACAUUUCUGCAGCUGAACAUGGGAUGAGAAGAGGGCAAUCUUCCAGUGGGUCCACCACAUUUUCUUUCCAAUUGAGCCAAUUCAUGGUCUCUUCUGGCAACUGCAAGGCCAGAUGUGAAUUUACCACUUUAUUGAGUGAAGCGGUCUGGGCAUUGUGAGACUCACAUAUGCACCCAGAGGGGAAGGGACCCUCACUCUGGGAAUGGAAAUCAAUUCAUAAUUGUACCCAGACAAAUGGGGCACACACUUCAGAUCUAUUACAGGAUUUAGUCGGAAUCAGAAGAACAAAGGCAUAAAGUAGAAACACAUUCAUAUGCCAGGCACAGGUAGGGGCUGGGGAGGGUAGAAAGUCCAGGGUUCCUGGCCGGCGAAGAAGGGCUCUGCUCAGCAUCUCAUGCUGGAGUGCAAGAGUAUAAAAUAAGGUAACUAAGGACAUGAAGCUUGGCCGCCUGCACCAUUUGAAAAAAGAAAAAUCAAACUGUGUUUUAUGAGUUUUUCUGGCUGAGUGGGCUGAUGGUAAAAGUGAUUGCAUAAGUGAAUAAAUUGAAAUAUGUAUCCUGGUUGUGUCAAAAGCAAAAAUAAUUAUUUUGUUCUUGGUGAGAUAUAGUGUUUAACUGCCAACACAUCAACCCAAAUAAAAAGGAAAUCUGCCUUUAGAUCUAGUAAUACAUUUAUUAACAAAUGAUGUAUCUGAAUUAUCCAUCGUUUUGAUCCACAUUUUGCAGAAAGGCA
rnacentral:lncRNA from 1 species